rnacentral:rRNA from 1 species
AUUGAACGCUGGCGGCAGGCCUAACACAUGCAAGUCGAGCGAGCGGCGGACGGGUGAGUAAUGUCUGGGAAACUGCCUGAUAGAGGGGGAUAACUACUGGAAACGGUAGCUCAUACCGCAUACCAUCAGAUGUGCCCCGAUGGGAUUAGCUAGUAGGUGGGGUAAUGGCUCACCUAGGCGACGCUCCCUAGCUGGUCUGAGAGGAUGACCAGCCACACUGGAACUGAGACACGGUCCAGACUCCUACGGGAGGCAGAAGUGGGGAAUAUUGCACAAGGGGCGCAAGCCUGAUGCAGCCAUGCCGCGGGUAUGAAGAAGGCCUUCGGGUUGGAAAGCACUUUCAGCGGGGAGGCGUUACCCGCAGAAGAAGCACCGGCUAACUCCGUGCCAGCAGCCGCGGUAAUAC